GCUAAAUGUUUUUUCAGGAGACACAGAAAGAAAGACAGGCCACCCUAAAUAUCUUCCAUGACCGUGACUGCAUCAGUAUGACAGAGUGUGAGCUGCAUGAAGCCGCAGAGGCAUUCUUUUCCCUCCUCCUCUCUUCUUCAAAUCCCUUAGUCUUUACCUUUUCCCAGCAUUGGGUUUAUAAAUGUAAACACAACUUGUCCCUGCAGCUUGUUCUUCCGCACUUGCAGUGUAUACUGGCAAGAGCCCUGUUUGUUGUCGUUUUCCUAGCUUUCCUCCUCACGUCCUCCUGACAUGCCCUGUAAACGUAGAGGUGAAGUAUCUUUCAGUUUAAAUAGGUGGAGAUGGCACCUUUAUGAAUGACAGAAGCAACACCAUUUAGACCAGCACCAUGUGGCACAGUGUGUGACAGUGGGUGUGAGGAGAAAUUUUCCCCUAAGGAUUGGGGACAAACUCUCCUGUGUGGGAGGCACUCUGGCAGUGGGACACAUGGAACUGCGCUAACAGCUUUAUUAAGAUUUAUCUUGAGGAGCGUCCCGUGAGGUGAAUUAGAGGAUUGUCUUCCCACGUGAACUGGAAGGUGCAUACUCACCUGGCUGAGUCCCCUCGGCUCCUCUAAGGCUCCUUAAAUGAAGACCCUGCUGGUGGAGCCCCAUCUAGCAAGAAACUUAAUGCGCUCAUAGAGCUUUACACGGUUUCAUGAAAGCAGUGAAAGGCGUUCAAACAUCUUGCUUAUCUUGGGCCAGAGUAACUGAAAUUAAUUUCUUGGAUUGUUUUAAUUAAUUUGGUGGGGCAUAAACAAAUUUAGAGAUGGCAUUGAAUUCCCAAUAAUGAAGCGCAAAGUUAUGUCUGGACCUGCCCUGCCUGGAGAAACUGCUUAUAUUGAGCUGAUUUCAGAGCUGCAGAAUUAAUGUGGUGGGAACCAGUACGGUGUGCCUUGCAGUAACAGGGAUGUGUUGUAUAAAUCCCAUCCAGCACUUGGGUUUGCAAGGGUUGAAGUUCUCUCAGCAAGGACAUAUGUUUUCUUCCAAAUCAGCCCCUCCAGAUGCAGCUGCAAAGCCUGUGCCUGCUAAAAGGGACCUGAGGAGGAGCCUGGUCUUCAAGAGGAGAAAACCACAAGUGGGUUUAGGAGCAGCCCAGGUUUUUAAGAAAGCAUUAAGGAGUCUGGGCAUCCUUAAAUAUUCAAGGCCAUAAUGGAAAAGGUGGAGGAUAGGGACAUCUAAUAUCCGUGAUACAUCAUUGCAAGAGACCUGCAUCAAAGAAAACCUUUAAAGUGAGACAUCUGAUCUUUUU
rnacentral:lncRNA from 1 species